rnacentral:rRNA from 2 species
AAGGGCUCGCAGGCGGUUUCUUAAGUCUGAUGUGAAAGCCCCCGGCUCAACCGGGGAGGGUCAUUGGAAACUGGGGAACUUGAGUGCAGAAGAGGAGAGUGGAAUUCCACGUGUAGCGGUGAAAUGCGUAGAGAUGUGGAGGAACACCAGUGGCGAAGGCGACUCUCUGGUCUGUAACUGACGCUGAGGAGCGAAAGCGUGGGGAGCGAACAGGAUUAGAUACCCUGGUAGUCCACGCCGUAAACGAUGAGUGCUAAGUGUUAGGGGGUUUCCGCCCCUUAGUGCUGCAGCUAACGCAUUAAGCACUCCGCCUGGGGAGUACGGUCGCAAGACUGAAACUCAAAGGAAUUGACGGGGGCCCGCACAAGCGGUGGAGCAUGUGGUUUAAUUCGAAGCAACGCGAAGAACCUUACCAGGUCUUGACAUCC